CACGUAGGUAACCUGCCCUAAAGCGGGGGAUACCAUCUGGAAACAGGUGCUAAUACCGCAUAAUCCCAGCAGUCACAUGAGUGCUGGUUGAAAGACGGCUUCGGCUGUCACUUUAGGAUGGACCUGCGGCGUAUUAGCUAGUUGGUGGAGUAACGGUUCACCAAGGCGAUGAUACGUAGCCGACCUGAGAGGGUAAUCGGCCACAUUGGGACUGAGACACGGCCCAAACUCCUACGGGAGGCAGCAGUAGGGAAUCUUCCACAAUGGACGCAAGUCUGAUGGAGCAACGCCGCGUGGAUGAAGAAGGUCUUCGGAUCGUAAAAUCCUGUU
rnacentral:rRNA from 1 species